rnacentral:rRNA from 1 species
ACCGGAAGAUCAAGUGGUGGCCAUUUUUAUUGGGCCUAAAGCGUUCGUAGAAGGUUAGAUAAGUCUCUGGUGAAAUCCCGCAGCUUAACUCUGGGACUUGAUGGAGAUACUCUUAGACUUGAGGUCGGGAGAGGUUAGUGGUACUCCCAGUGUAGAGGUGAAAUCCUAGAAUCCUGGGAGGACCACCUGUGGCGAAGGCGCCUAACUGGAACGAACCUGACGGUGAGUAACGAAAGCCAGGGGCGCGAACCG